UUAACUCAAAUUUGUAUGGAGUUAGAACGUUUGCCUACGUUUGCCACUAUGGGCGCUGUUCUAACUGCAUACAAAAUUGAGUUA
rnacentral:pre_miRNA from 1 species